rnacentral:rRNA from 1 species
UACGGAGGGUGCAAGCGUUGUCCGGAUUUAUUGGGUUUAAAGGGUGCGUAGGCGGCCCGUUAAGUCAGUGGUGAAAGCCUCCAGCUCAACUGGAGAACUGCCAUUGAUACUGGCGGGCUUGAGUACAGAAGAGGUUGGCGGAAUUGAUUGUGUAGCGGUGAAAUGCAUAGAUACAGUCAAGAACACCGAUUGCGUAGGCAGCUAACUAGGCUGUAACUGACGCUGAGGCACGAAAGCGUGGGGAGCGAACAGG